UUCUUUCCCCUGUACAUUACUUGACCGUUUUUGUAAAACAACAGCACUCGAGGACAAGAACUAUAGAAGAUACAGAGAAAUAAUAUACAGCAGAAAUGAUAGGCAAUGUAAAAUUUGCAGAAGCCAACUAAACCUAAAUGGUGAUCAGACAUCUUGGUUUUCAUGAUCAAUAGGUCAUUACUGAAGAGGAAACCUAAAGUUGAAAUUUAUUUACAUAGUGCAUAAUUGGAUUAAUUUGAAAUGGAAUGUGUGCUUUCCUGCAAAAAAGAAAUAGGAAAUUUCAACAUUAUCACAUGAUAAUGACCAUAUAAAACAAAAUGGAGUUCUAUCAUAGAUACACAAAAACACUAUUGCAUAGAAGCAACAACAUAUCUUAAUCAAAAGAAAGGAGAAUGCAGAACAAAUACUAUUUUGUUGUUGAAAAAAGGAACACCAGUUUUAUCCACUCACUUACAUCACUCCCUCAUAUCAAAUAUACAGAAGAAGAUCAUUGAAGAACAAUUUGCAAAAAUGAUUUCUCUUAGAAUUGAAGGGAAUUGUUUAGUGAAUGGAAUAAUGUAUUCACUGAAUUCUUACAUAGUGGAUUGAAUAACUGUACACAAGCUGAAACAGAAGAAAUUCUAAUUUAAAAUAACACGAAAAGUGUUUAUUUUAUUAUUUAAUCUGCAAAUAUAUAAACAAAUUCUUUAGAACACCACAAAUGAUAUAAUGACAUUCAAAUUGGUUGCUUAUUAAUGUAUCGCAUUGAAACAAUUACAAAGAAAACAGAAGCAUUUGCUCCAAAAAAAUUAUAAAUCAAAGUUAAAUUUAUAUAAAAAGUAUAAACAAUACCUAGAUCUAAACAGUCAGACUGUAUUAUUUUCAAUGUCAUUAAAAUGUUGAG